GGUGACUGGCACAGGCUGCCCAGAAAAGCUGCAGUGUCUUUAUCCUUCAAAACCUGACCAGAUACAUCCCUGAUCAACCUGCCCCAGCUGACCUUGCUCGGAGCUGGGAAUUUGGACCAGAAGAUCUCCAAAGAUCCCAUCCAUCCUCAAUCUUUGGGUGGUUCUAAGAGUAAGGAGAGCGGAGUACAGGUUUCUUUUGCACUGAGGUGAGCUUUACUGGUGUAGGGAGGCAGAUGGUGACUGCUCUGUUCAAAGGUGUAAAGAACCUCAUUUCGGAGUUUGAAUUAAGGGAGAGGCCAAGCACUUGCAAGGUACUCCAUUUAUAGAGUCUGUGCAGUCAGAAGGGAGAUAGAGUUUGAAAGUCAUAAUGAAAGUAAAGUAGAGGGCCCACAAGAGGGCACUUAGGAGAGAAAGGGGUUUAAAAAAAAAAAAAGGGUCACAGGACAGAAUGCCUGGGAGGAUACAGUAACAGUGCAGUUUCACAUUACAGCAAUAAUUUACUCACAGGGCCAAGUUUAGAAAUAACCCCACUGUCACAUGUUUUAGUUAGCAGUGAAGGUUCUCAUAAAGAGAAGCUGUCAGUAAAGGGAAGAAGCCUAUUCUUCCUCCUCUGGCUUGUCCAGUUCUUUCCCAAUGGCUGCAGCCAUGGAUUAGAUCAUCUCAUUGAAACUGCAGAAUAUUGAACUGCCUCAGGAAAACUAUUGUUACUCUGUUAGUUCUGUUCAGUGAAUUGGAUUCAUCCUGAGGAUAUUCAGUUGGUAGGGUCAGUGCAAGUGAGGGGAAGGGGAAACAGCUGUGAGAGGUGAAAGAGGCAAGAUCAUCCACUUUGGCCACACGCUCAAUUGGAACCAUUUAUUAGACAUGAAAAAGAAAAUGUUCUUUGAAAUACUCUUGACUAUGAGUGAGUGCCUGGUAUGAUCCGGCAGCGUGGCUGCAGUGCUGCUGCAUGCCCUACAGCGGUGUGCUCUGCUCCAUGCUGCAACAGUGCCUACUCACACUGGAGCUUCUUUGAAAACCCCAGGCAGCAAAAGGUUCAAAACUACGUUCAAACUGUUGCAAAGUUCAACCUUGCCUUAUAAAAAUUCACACUACAACUAAAAACACUGGUGUAUGAAUUUAAUACAAGUCAGUGACAAAAAGUUAUCAGUAUCUCCAAAAUGUGUCUCAAAAUCAUGGCACCAUACAGCAUUUUCUCACCAGAACCUGCAAUGACAGGUGAAGCAACAGCUUAUAAAUCUGUACUUGAAUUCUAGUAUUAAUUGCACUUUUUAACAGUAUGCAGAACAUAUUUUAAAAGAACUCUUAUGUGAGCCUCUCUAGAGGGAUCUUAUUGUGAAACUGAUGAUACAGUGAAGAAAUACCAGGAUUUUCUUGUGUUUGGCAGACUACCCAUAUUACCUUCAUUUCUAGUACUAUAAUAGUAACAGAAACAAAUAAACAAAAAUAUUAAGCAAAAGAACAACCAUUGCAAUUCAGUGACUUCCUACUAAACUAAGCUGAAAAUUCUUCAGAGGUCUCACCUACUAAACAGAUAUUUUUAUAUACUUAGCAGCUUCCUAAGUUACACUGCAGCCUGACCACGUGAGACAGGAAAGCACUUCCAGACAUUUGAAGAUACUCUCCUGAAAUGCAUACAUUGAAAACAAAUGGUAAACAAUCUCUUCCAAAACUAAGUACAGGAAACAAUCACACUCAGGACACAUUUCUGAGAAGUGUAUUUUCAGACAGUGUGGUGGGGCCCUAAGUAAAACAAAUAUGUACUGCCUGGCUGCAUUUAACCACUGUACUCAAAGCUGUAAGACAACCAGCUUUACUGAGUGGUGGAAAGAACAAAAUUCCAAUGCAUCUACAGAAGGAUUUCCAGUUAGUUCCUGGAGAACUCUGUAAUUGGCCAACCUACAAAGAGAAAUUAAAACAUAUCUGAUAAAGAACUGUGGAAAAUUCUUUGCUAAAUGUAGUUAAGUAAUAUCUAUUUAACUAAAUUGGACAGCAUUCUGUAAAAAGCUUAAACAAUCAUGGACAUCAGAAGAUCAGAAUGUUUCCUGCUCUAAAAUAUUAUGGGAUUUUCAGCAACUCACAGUUUCAAAACACGUCAACUGUGGGCUGCAAAGCCAAAAACACAUUUAUAUGUACGUUGCUCUGAAAGUAAUGCCUCCCAUUUAUCUCCAUGGAAACAACAACAGAGCACAAUAACACUGUUUGAUAGAGCAAAUUCGCAGCUACAGAGCACUACGGUCACCACCAUCAGCUGUGCAUUUUCAUCAGUGAUAAACAAGCCUGCAUGUUGUGCUUGUAAAAAUUUGCACCAGUAGAGUUGAUCCACUGUCAUCACUGCACCACACACCACUUAAUUGUGCUCAGAUGCACUGUUUGGUCUCCAUAAAUGUUCAGCAAAUGCCCAUGGAUGUCAAUGGGUGUCAUUUUUUCUGAUUGACAAAGUUCACUGACACCCCUUAGCUUCAUACACACUUCCAUGUCAGACGCCACUUUGUCAGACUGCCCCUCUGCUGCCACCUGUCACACAGCAGCAAAAUGCAAUGGAAUUGUGGUGAGAAGGUUCAACCUCUACUGCCAUACCACCAACAUCCAACUCUGCUGUUGUGGGCAAACACCAUAAUACAGGAGGCAUUACUUUUGGAGCAGACCCCAUACAUUUCAUAGGUAGUGUAUCUUAAAGUCAUUUAUGUCUUAAGGUGAUCAGCCUGCAUAGAAAUUAGUAACCGUUAGUGGAAAUGUUGAUUGCGACUCCUUAUUCCUUGAGAUCAUUAUUUGUAGAAUAAGAAGAAUUUGAAGACAUUUUGAAAAUCCCUAAUAUUGGAGUACACACACAUGCACACACACACUUCUUCAGACAAGUCUACAUAUUCACAGAGACACUGCUUUAAAUGAAAAUGAGACCUGAGCCUUCAACAUAAUAGUCUGUAUUUCGUGAAACUGCUGUCGUAUCAAAAAAGUAAGACUGUAUUUUUGUUGGGACAAAAACAUCUGGAUUACUCCUCAAGUUAAUGUCACCUUAAAGUUAAUGACACCUGAAAUCUGAGCACAGUCUAAGAACAGCAAUGAAAGUAAAAGGAUGCCAUGCUCCCAGAGCAAGUCUGUUUGCCAGCUAUGACAAACUUAGAAAGGUCAGCUGGCUGGAAAAAUGCUUUCUAAGUAGUUGUCAAACUUAGCUAGACAGGAUUGUUCGUGGUAUGCAAUUCUAGGGCCUAAAGAUCUUGUUUCAGAAGCUGUAAACAUGAAAAACACGGAGUUACAUCAAUGGGAAUCGAAGGAAAUUUGUUGUGAUGACAAUUCAAAAUCUGCAAUGGUUUGGAAAUAAGGCUGAAAGCACCAAAUAGAGCCCCUGCAGGGCUCCUUUAGGAAAGAAGAAGGAUCAUAUCCAAGGUGGAAAUAAAGUGAGGUAGCUGUUUUCUUUAGCACUCUUAUCCCCCAGAUUGUUGAGCAUCAGGAUGUUAAUGCUGUAAUCAGGAGCUAACUGGAAGAAGCAGAUUAUAGAGCCACAGAUUUUGAAAAUGAAGGACCAAAGCUGCAGUACAUGGCUGAGCUCUCUGCUCUUAAAACAUGAGAAAAUGUUUGCUUCCAUAAAAUAUAAGUAUUCUAAUACAUUAUUGUUAGCCAAAGCAUAAAUUGAUAACAACCUUACUGCUUCUUUGAUUUCAGAGAGAUGACGUAGUAAACUAUUCAGAAGGGUGCUCUUAGUAGCAAUGUAUUGCCUGUGUAUGAGCUAUACAUUAAAAAAAAUUGUGUUUUAAUAAGAAGAAAUCAAGUUAACCAUAGUUAACAUUAUCAAGUUAACAUUAAUUAACAGGAGAUACGAGAGAAAUAGUAUUAUCAAUAUCAAUUUGUUGUUACUUGUGUGAAAUUGAUUAGCAUGUUUCGCUGAGGCAAAGCAGCGUACUCCAUGCCCUAGAAAAAGCAUGUGAACAACAGAAAGAUGUUUUUACAAGUUAUGAGUUUGAUAAAAGCAUAUUUGUGCUGCUGUGUCACACAUUUUAAACACGGAACUGAAGUCUGCUCAGUAAUAUCUUAAUGCCAUCUAUUCUAAAUAGAGAACGACACAUCCUAAGAAAAUGAUAUGGGAAGGCAUGACAAAUAAUUCUACAUAGGCAAGGUGCUUGUUUCAGAUCACUUGACUUUGGGAAUGCAUAACUGUAUUCAGGGAUACCACACGUGUAGUUCUGAUCUUCGGUACUUGUUAGAAAUGAGUCUAUGCCGUGCUGCAUUUAAAUCUAAAUUGUUAAACAGAUCCACACCCUAUACUUUGGUAAGAAGGUGCCCUCAUUUGUGUGCUUAACUACUUUAAUGCAAAUAAGCUAAAUUGCAGUAAACACUUACCUGCUAGUGCACACUCACACAUUCUAGGAGGGUGCAUUCCUUUGUAUUGGUAGAUAUAGAAAGGAGUAUUUGUGAGUGCAGAGAAAGACAAACUGAUUUGCUAUGUGCUUCCAUGGGCUUUGACCCAAAGAUCCCUUGGCUCAAGGCAGCUGACAGCUUAAUAAUUUCCUCUGGAAAGUAAGUAUCUCAGAAGAUGCCCAUCUCGCCUGGGCUGUCAGUGUGAAAGCCCCAUUGAAAACAAGGGUUAUCUUUUCCUACGGUGAACCUGGGUUUAUAUAUUCAGUCAAAAGAAGAAAAGAUUGAAAAGAUUUACAAUCAAGUGUAACAAUAAGUGGAGUUCAAUCUUUGUCGUUAUGAAAGGCCAGCAGAGAUUGAUUGGGAACAGCCAGCUCUUUCACAAGGAGUUUGCACUGUGAUUGUAUUUCAGCAAAUAAAGAAUUGCAUGACCUUCCCUUUCCAGGGUGCAAGAGGUUUGGUCGGCUGCCUGAAAGGAACCCAGGGUGCUGAAAGAAAUAGCUUAAAAACAAAGUCAGUAAUUAAAAAGUCUAAAGAUAAGAUUGUAGGUGAAAAAAAAAACCAACCCCAAGAGUGUGGCAUUCCUUGAAGCACAAGCUGAGGUGGAACAGUUAAAAGUCUGUUUCAGGGACACGUAAAACAGUGACAGAAGUUUAAGCGUUUAGCUGUGUCACUGGAUCUGGAGUUCUUGAGUUAAUUAUCAAGAGAAGUUUCAACUUAAUUCAUAUGCUGCAGUUAUCCAGACAAUACUGUUCUUCAGAAAAAGCUACUUUAAAAAAUAUUCAAGUAGUGUUUUGUGAAGCCCCUGGGAAAGUAUUCACACAACUUCACCUGGAGUAAGAACUCAUUCUAUAGUAUAAUGGCUCUUGUACAAGUUCAGAUGCACUCUCAUUACUUCAAAAGCCAAAUUGGACAAUUACUUCAGUUCCUCAUAGCUGACUUCCUCAGUAAAAAAAUUAGUGUGACAGUUUUUCCACCAAACUGUAUCACCUUUGACUUUUUAAGCCCUAAGUCCCCAAUACACUUCCUUUUCAAAUUGCUUCCCUUUUAGCAAGGCAGCGAUCUACCUAGUUAGAUAGUAGAUUAAAAAAAAAUAAACAUGGAAGAUUCUUGAAUAACAUACAAACCUUAAUUAUCACAUCUGGUCUUUCAGAAAUCCCAUCCUUUUCACUGAUGGCAUAUGAUGACAGAGAACAGUCUGUUCUGGAGUAGAUUCUGUGGAAGUCUGGAUGAAACAACUUCCAGAGUAACUUACUUGCUGGAAAAUAUGAUUUUAAGUGACUCCUGCCUUUCAAGUUUGAUAGGAUUGAUUCUGUGAGAACGCCUGGCUUCAUUUAUGUAAUUAUCUUCAUUAAUGCCAAGAAGAUUCAAUACAGUCAACAUGAACUCUGGUACGGACUGCCAGCAUGUUUCCCACAGUGUCUGCCUGUAGCAAAAGGAUUUCCUCACACAAACUUGUUUGCUAUUCUGAUGAAAACUUGAUGGCAGAAAAUCAUUCUCUU
ensembl:lncRNA